UACGGGGGGAGCAAGCGUUGUUCGGAUUUACUGGGCGUAAAGGGCGCGUAGGCGGUCAGCACAAGUCAGUUGUGAAAUCUCCGGGCUUAACCCGGAAAGGUCAACUGAUACUGCGGGGCUAGAGUGCGGAAGGGGCAACUGGAAUUCUCGGUGUAGCGGUGAAAUGCGUAGAUAUCGAGAGGAACACCUGCGGCGAAGGCGGGUUGCUGGGCCGACACUGACGCUGAUGCGCGAAAGCCAGGGGAGCGAACGGG
rnacentral:rRNA from 1 species